rnacentral:lncRNA from 1 species
GCACCAUGCCUGCCUAUAGCAGGCCUUCCCCUGGCCAGGGCUCUUCCCUACCCCUCCUCAGGACUGCCCAGGGGAGGCAGGUCUUGAGGAAUGGAAACCCUGGCAUGGCCCAGCCACAGGGCUGUGGUCCUGCCUCCGUUCUGUCCCUUAGCCCACCACACAGAACCCGCUGCUGCAGCAGCAGCGAUUAGCUCUGGGAAGUGCUGUGCAUCUCUAAUGAGGGCAUUUGCAUAUAUAACGAAGAACCUUCACAGGUGUUGGCUGAGCCACCACUCCUCUUUUCCCUUUCUUCUUUCCUGCCAGCUGCCAUCUUUGACCUGUGGCUCUUGGGGUGUGGGAGUCCCUGCCCAUUCAGCUGGGAGAUGUGCUGUGCUGAAGGACCCCAGGCACAGGCACUGGCAGGGUUCUUUGCCCACUCCUGUUGGCCGCUGCGGCUCCAAAACGAGCUGGGCAGAUGUGCCUGAGACAGGUUUGACCAGGCAACUGAAAAGACAUCCCUAAGUGAAGACACAGCAAAGGUAUGAAAGGAACACACGUCCCCGACUGACCAGGUGGAACUGUCCAGCUGCCUGCUGUCUGGAACGACUUCCUCCCAGACUAAGUGAGAAAUAAACUUCUGUUUUCUAUAUGCUACUGUGUUUUG